CCUACGGGCGGCAGCAGUGGGGAAUAUUGGACAAUGGGCGAAAGCCUGAUCCAGCCAUGCCGCGUGUGUGAAGAAGGCCUUCGGGUUGUAAAGCACUUUCAGUGGGGAAGAAAGCCUUGGGGCUAAUACCCUCGAGGAAGGACAUCACCCACAGAAGAAGCACCGGCUAACUCCGUGCCAGCAGCCGCGGUAAUACGGAGGGUGCGAGCGUUAAUCGGAAUUACUGGGCGUAAAGCGCGCGUAGGCGGUCUGAUAAGCCGGUUGUGAAAGCCCCGGGCUCAACCUGGGAACGGCAUCCGGAACUGUCAGGCUAGAGUGCAUGAGAGGAAGGUAGAAUUCCCGGUGUAGCGGUGAAAUGCGUAGAGAUCGGGAGGAAUACCAGUGGCGAAGGCGGCCUUCUGGACUGACACUGACGCUGAGGUGCGAAAGCGUGGGUAGCAAACAGGAUUAGAUACCCCGGUAGUC
rnacentral:rRNA from 1 species